rnacentral:lncRNA from 1 species
AGGACAUGGAUAUGGUACGUGUCAGGAUGCAUCAGGACAUGGCCAUUGCACGUGUCAGGACCCGUUAAGACAUGGCAGGGCAUGGCCAUGGCACGAGUCAGGACGUCGCAGGAUGCUUCAAGACAUGGCCAUGGCACGUGUCGGGACAUGGCAGGGUGUGGCCAUGGCACGAGUCAGGACGUCGCAGGACAUGACAGGAUAUGGCCAUGGUAUGUGGCAGGACGUAUCAGGACAUGGCCAUGGGACGACGUCGCACCAAGCCGCACCACGUUGCUCCAAGACGCACCACGUCGUACCACGUCAAUUUCUAGCCAAUGCUUAGAAACAUUUCAUGUGCAACGAUGUUGGUGAUCGUUGGCGGCGGUGGUGGAAAGUCGGGGUGGUUCGAGCGGUAGCGUCCGGCGACGGUCGGUCGACGCUUGGUGGUUGGCGGCGGUUGCUUCAAAUCCUAAUCACUUGUUUUUUUUUGGGCAACAUGUCAAGCGCAAUGAUGUUGGUGGUCGUUGGUGGCGGUAAUGGAAAGUCGCGGUGGUUCGAGCGGUAUCCACCGGCGACGGUUGGUCGACGCUUUGUGGUUGGCGGCGGUUUUUUCAAAUCGGAAUCCCUUGUUGUGGUUGCGACAAUGGAAGUGCCUCGUGCUUAUUGGCGGUUGGUCAUCUAUACACUUUUAUUAUAAUAUUAUUCAUUUUUCCUAUUUUAUAAUAUAUUUUUAGUAAUAUUUAUGCAUUUUUUGUUAUUUUAAAUUAUUUUAUGUCACUUUUUAAUAACAAUAUUUACUCUUUUAUAUGUUAUACUAUUACAAAAUGUUUUGGAAUUUUUCUCCAUCAUUUUUUCUAUUUGUAUAAUAAUUUUCAUAUUUUUUAGUAUUUUAUUACGUAUUUUUUGUUUUUAAAUAUAAAUUUUUCAAAAAAAUAUUAUUUUUUGUAAAAAAUAUAAUUUAGAAUUUAUAAAAGUCAUUUGUGAAUAUAUUAGCCAAGUUGUAGUUUGGUUUGUGCUAUUUGGUGUUGCACAUGUCUAUUAUGAUUCUCUGGCCAAAACAUGUCUACUCCUGAAACGUGGGUUUUUUUAAAUCAUAUAUAAGUGGGGUAGAGGUGUUGAGAGGCACCUCAGGUGCUUGCUACUAGGAAGGUGCAAGCAUGCAUAAGAGACGCUGCAAUGGGACGUGGGCAUUGGGAGAAUGCAUGGCUUGUCCGUGCAACGUCCUCGAUGUUCCCAAACCAGGCCGGCAAGUACUCGUGUGGGCUUUUAGUACGCCUAGUGGUGGCACCGCUCGUGGCAAACAUUGGCUUUUGGCAACGAACGGUGGAGCGCCAUGCUAGUAGCGCCGCCAAGGUGCCGUGCGCAAGGGGCGAAGCUUAGUACUUGUUGAUCGCCAUUGGAUAUUGCGGGAAAAAUUGGGAGGCGACAUCGCUCGUGGCGGCUGAUGGCUUUUGACAACAGAACGGCAAAGCGUCAUGCAAGUAGCACCGCAAGGUGCCGUGCGCAUGGGGCGAAGAUUAGUAAGUUGCUGAUUGCCAUCGGUUCUUGUGGGUUAUGUCUGGAAUCUCUCGUGGCGGCUGAUGGCUUUCGAAGAAGAAGGGCGGAGCUUCGUGCAAGUAGCGCGGCAAGGUGCCGUGCGCAGGGGCGAUGUGCGCAUUGGGCGAGGCUUAGUAAGUUGUUGAUUUCCAUUGGUUGUUGUGGGUUGUGUCUGGUAUCUCUCAUGGCGGCUGAUGGCUUCGACAACGAACGGCGGAGCGUUGUGCAAGUAGCGCCGCAAGGUGCCGUGCGCAUAGGGUGAACCUUAGUAGAUGUCGAUUUCCAUCGGUUGUUGCGGGAAACAUCGCUCAUGGCGGUUGAUGGUUUUCGGUAAUGGAACUGCGGAGCGUUGUGCAAGUAGCGUCGGAAGGUGCCGUGCGCAUGGGCGAAGCUUAGUAAGUUACCAAUUGCCAUCGAUUGUUGUGGGUAGUCUCUGUAAACCCCCCUCCAUGGCGGCUUAUGGAUUUUGACAAUGAACGACGGAGCAUCGUGCAAGUAGCGCCUCAAGGUGCCGUGCGCACGAGGCGAAGUGCAGUAGAUGUUCAUUGCAAUCAGUUGUUGCGAGAAAUAUCGGGAGGCGACAUCGCUCGUGGCGGCUGAUGGCUUUUGGCAACAAAAUGGAAAAGCAUCGUGCAAGUAGCGCCGCAAGGUGCCAUGCGCACGGGGUGAAGCUUAGUAAGUUGAUGAUUGCCAUCGGUUGUUUGCGGGCAACAUUGGGAGGCGACAUCGCUCGUGGAGGCUGAUUGUUUUUGGCAACAAAAUGGCAAAGCAUCGUGCAAGUAGCGUUGCAAGGUGGCAUGCGCACGAAGCGAUCCAUGCGCACAGGGCGAAGCUUAGUGAGUUGCUGAUUGCCAUCGGUUGGUACGGGCAACAUCGAGAGGCGACAUCACUCGUGGCGGCUGAUGGCUUUUGGAAACAAAAUGGCAAAACAUCGUGCAAGUAGCGCCGCAAGGUGCCGUGCACACGGGGCGAAGAUUAGUAUGUUGCUGAAUGCCAUCGGUUGUUGUGGGCAACAUUGGGAGGCGACAUUGCUCGUGGCGGCUAAAGGCUUUUGGCAACAAAAGGGCAAAACAUCGUGCAAGUAGCGCCUCAAGGUUCCAUGCUCACGGGGCGAAGCUUAGUAAGUUGCUGAUUGGCAUCAGUUGUUGCAGAAAACAUCGGAGGGCGACAUCGCUCGUGGAGGCUUAUGGCUUUUCGCAAUGGAACGGCAAAGCAUCGUGCAAGUAGCUUCUCUAGGUGUCGUGCGCACAGGGCAUAGCUUAGCAAGUUGCCGAUUUCCAUCAGUUGUUCCGGGCAACAUCGGGAGGCGACAUCGCUUGUGGCGGCUGAUGGCUUUUGGCAACAAAAUGGCAAAGCAUCGUGCAAGUAGCGCCGCAAGGUGCUGUGCUCACGGGGAAAAGCUUAGUAAGUUGUUGAUUGCCAUCAGUUGUUGCAGGAAACAUCAGAAGGCGACAUCGCUCGUGACGCCUGAUGGCUUUUCGCAAUGGAACGGCAAAGCAUUGUGCAAGUAGCGCUGUAAGGAUCCAUGCGCAUGGGGCGAAGCUCAAUAAAUUGCCUAUUGCCAUCAAUUAUUGUGGGUUGUGUCUGGCAUUGUUCAAACCCCCUAAUCAUGCUUUGCAGGGCUUGUCUUGGCUUUGCAAUGUUGGCAUCGGCAACAACACAUGGCUGCGCGUCACGUGUUGGGGCUGGUGUUGGCUUUGUAUCGGCGAGGCAAGUGUACGUGCGGCACAUGAGUGGUGUUUGGCUUGUGUGGCUAGGUUGGAUCCCUGCUCGAGCAGCGACGUCCUAGAUCGCAUGACAUCUCAGUCAUGUCACAAGCGCAAAUUAGGCCUGUUUGACGUCGGUUUUCUAUGUUGCAUACCUAAUGUCAAGGCAUUAUCAAGCACAAUUGGUCGCAUUUUGCCCCGCGCGUUCAAUGUGCGGGGACAACCAAAAGCUGCAGUUGUGUCCCAGGUCGUCCUGGCUUUGCCUUGCGAUGGCUUGGUCCACGACUUAGCAUGCUCGGGCUCUCGGAUUUGGUAAACGCAAUGGCACGUGGCCUUCAUUGGCUCCUAUCUACCCAAAGAAUACUUCUUACAAAUGAUGGUUGCGCUUGCCUUGGACUUGGUCGUGCCCUUUUGGGUCGGCCACGCUCAUGCGACGCCGCCUUCAAUGAGGAAUUCUACCUGGUUAAUCCUGCCAGUAGUCAUAUGCUUGAAAGGGGCCUUCAUUGGCUCCUAUCUUCCCAAAGAAUGCUCCUUACAAGUGAUGGUCGUGCUCGCCUUGGACUUGGCCGUGCCGUUUUGGGUUGGCCACGCUCAUGCGACACCAGCGUCAAUGAGGAAUGCUACCUGGUUGAUCCUGCCAGUAGUCAUAUGCUUGUCUCAAAGAUUAAGCCAUGCAGACACCAGCGCGGCCGCAUGCCAUUUCUGUGCGGUCCGCACUAGAGCCACGCGACGCAAGGCACUUCUGUGUGGUCCGCAUGGCUGAGUCUGACCAGGAGAUUUUGGCCUGAGCAGCGCCACCGCACACCAAAUCAGUGCGGUCCACGCUGGGAUGGUUCAGAGGGACCCGAACUUUCCCCCACUCGGUGCGGCCGCAACACUUUUUUGUGCGCGUGCAACAAAACCCGGCUUCUGGAAGGGAUGCAUUUAUUAGAUAAAAGGUCGACGCGGGCUCUGCCUGUUGUUGCGAUGAUUCAUGAUAACUCGACGGAUUGUACGUCCAUCGUGCCGGCGACACAUCAUUCAAAUUUCUUCCCUAUCAACUUUUGAUGGUAGGAUAGUGGCCUACCAUGGUGGUGACGGGUGAUGGAGAAUUAGGGUUUGAUUCCUGAGAGGGAGCCUGAGAAACGGCUACCACAUCCAAGGAAGGCAGCAGGCGUGCAAAUUACCUAAUCCUGACACGGGGAAGUAGUGACAAUAAACAACAAUACCGGGCUUUAUGAGUCUGGUAAUUGGAAUGAGUACAAUCUAAAUCCCUUAAUGAGGAUCCAAUGGAGGGGAAGUCUGGUGCCAGCAGUCGCGGUAAUUCCAGCUCCAAUAGCGUAUAUUUAAGUUGCUGCAGUUAAAAAGCUCAUAUGGAGGGGAAGUCUGGUGCCAGCAUCCGCGAUAAUUACAACUCCAAUAGCGUAUAUUUAAGUUGUUGUAGUUAAAAAGCUCGUAGUUGGACUUUGGGAUGGGCCGUUUAGUCCACCUUAGGUGUGCACUGGUCGUCUCGUCCCUUCUGCCGGCGAUGCGAUCCUGGCCUUAAUUGGCCAGGUCGUGCCUCCAGUGCUGUUACUUUGAAGAAAUUAAAGUGCUCAAAGCAAGCCUAUGAUCUGUAUACAUUAGCAUGGGAUAACAUUAUAGGAUUUCGGUCCUAUUACGUUGGCCUUCGGGAUCAGAGUAAUGAUUAACAAGGACAGUCAGGGGCAUCCAUAUAUCAUAGUCAGAGGUAAAAUUCUUGGAUUUAUGAAAGACGAAAAACUGCGAAAGAAUUUGCCAAAGAUGUUUUUGAUUAAUCAAGAAUGAAAGUUGGGGGCUCGAAGACGAUCAGAUACCGUCCUAGUCUCAACCAUAAACGAUGGCGACCAGGGAUCGGCGGAUGUUGCUUUUAGGACUCCGCCGGCACCUUAUGAGAAAUCAAAGUUUUUGGGUUCCGGGGGGAGUAUGUGAAGACGAUCAGAUACCGUCCUAGUCUCAACCAUAAACGAUGCCGACCACGGAUCUGCGGAUGUUGCUUUUUGGACUCCGCCGGCACCUUGUGAGAAAUCAAAGUUUAUGGGUUCCGGGGGGAGUAUGGUUGCAAGGCUGAAUUUUAUAGGAAUUGACGGGAGGGCACCACCAGGAGUGGAUCCUGCGGCUUAAUUUGACUCAACACGGGGAAACUUACCAGGUCCAAACAUAGUAAGGAUUGACAGACUGAGAGCUCUUUCUUGAUUAUAUGGGUGGUGGUGCAUGGCCGUUCUUAGUUGGUGGAGCGAUUUGUCUGGUUAAUUCCGUUAACGAACGAGACCUCAGCCUGCUAACUAGCUAUGCAAAGGUAUCCUUUCGCGGCCAGCUUCUUAGAGGGACUACAGGUGUUUAGGCCGUGGAAGUUUGAGGCAAUAAUAGGUUUCUGAUGCCCUUAGAUGUUCUGGGCCGCACGCGCGCUACACUGAUGUAUUCAACGAGUUGAUAGCCUUGGCCGACAGGCUCGGGUAAUCUUUGAAAUUUCAUCGUGAUGGGGAUAGAUCAUUGCAAUUUUUGGUCUUCAACGAGGAAUUCCUAGUAAGCGCGAGUCAUCAGCUCUCGUUGGCUACAUCCCUGCCCUUUGUACACACCACCCGUCGCUCCUACCGAUUGAAAGAUCCGGUGAAAUGUUCGAAUAGCGGCGACGUGGGCGGUUCGCUGCCCACGACGUUGCGAGAAGUUUGAACCUUAUUAUUUAGAGGAAGGAGAAGUCGUAACAAGGUUUCCGUCUCGGAUCGCGGCGAUGUGGGCUGUCCGCUCCCUGCGACAUCGCGAGAAGUCCAUUGAACCUAAUCAUUUAGAGGAAGGAGAAGUCGUAACAAGGUUUCCGUAGGUGAACCUGCAGAAGGAUCAUUGUCGAAACCUGCAAGGCAGAACGACCCGCGAACUUGUUUAAAAACUGGGGAGCGGUGCGGCCGGGAUUGAACCUGCAGAAGGAUCAUUGUGGAAACCUGCAAGGCAGAACGACUCGCGAACUAGUUUAAAAAUUCAGGAGAGGUGCGGCCAGGAUGCUUCGGCCUCCGUCGUGCGACUUCCUCCAUUAUCCCUGACGCGCCCGCUCGCGUGCGUUCCGGGUCAUUAACGAACCACGGCGCGAAAAGUGCCAAGGAAUACUAAAUUGAAAGCCUGCCCCUCGCACCCCAUUUGCGGCGUGCGCGGGGGACUUGUGCUUCUUUUGAAACACAAAUGACACUCGGCAAUGGAUAUCUCGGCUCUCGUAUCCAUGAGGAACGUAGCGAAAUGCGAUACUUGGUGUGAAUUGCAGAAUCCCGUGAACCAUCAAGUCUUUGAACGCAAGUUGCGCCCGAAGCCAUUAGGCCGAGUGCACGUCUGCCUGGGCGUCACGCAUCGCGUCGCCGCCGCACACCGCUCCCAUUCUCAUGGUUGCGGUGCUGUCGUGGGACGGAUACUGGCCUCCCUGCAAGUUGCGCCUGAAGCCAUUAGGCCAAGGGCACGUCUGCGUGGGCGUCAUGCAUCGCGUCACCCCCGCACACCGCACCCAUUCUCAUGGUCACAAUGUUGUUGUUGGACGGAUACUAGCCUUUCGUGCACCUCGAGCGUGCGGUUGGUCUAAAUGUGAGUCCACAACUACGGACGUCCCGGCAAGUGGUGGUUGAAACUAAACUCUCGUAAUGUCGCAGCUCCAACCCGUCGCACGUUUGAGCUCCCGAUCCUUAUCGCGCUUAGGCGCUCCAACCGCGACCCCAGGUCAGGAAGGACUACCCGCUGAGUUUAAGCAUAUCAAUAAGCGUAGGAGAAAAAACUUACAAGGAUUCCCUUAGUGAUAGCGAGCGAACCUGGAACAGCCCAGCGUUAGAAUCAAGCAGCUGCGUCGUCCGAAUUGUAAUCUGGAGAAGCGUCCUCAGUGGCAGACCGGGCCCAUUUCCCCUGGAACGGGGGGCCAGAGAGGGUGAGAGCCUCAUUGUGCUCGGACCUUGUCGCACCACGAGGCGAUGUCUACGAGUCGGGUUAUUUGGGAAUGCAGCCCAAAUCGGGCGGUGAAUUUCGUCCAAGGCUAAAUACGGGCGAGAGACUGAUAGAGAACAAGUACCACGAGGGAAUGAUGAAAAGGACUUUGAAAAGAGAUUCAAAGAGUUCUAGAAAUUGUGUAGAGGGAAGCGGAUGGGGGCCGGCGAUGCACCCUGGUCAGAUGUGGAACGGUGUUGAGCCGGUCUGCUGAUCGAUUCGGGGUGUGGACCAGUAUGGAUUGGGGGGCAGCCAAAUCCCGGGAUUAUGAUAUGCUCGUGAAAUGUCGUCUCCUUGAUUGUGGUAGGAGUUGAAAAGAGAGUCAAAGAGUGCUUGAAAUUUUUGGGAGGGAAGCGGAUGGGUGCCAGCGAUGCGCCCCAAUCGAUGUGGAAAGGUGUUGAGCCGGUCCACCGAUCGAUUCGGAGCGUGGACCAGCGUAGGGUGGGGUAAAGCCCGGGCUAUUGAUACGCUCGUGGAACGUCAUCUCCUUGGUUGUGGUAGGCUGCACGCGCCUCUAGCAUGCUUCAUUAUCUGCAUGCUCCGGACGUUGGCAUGUGGGCUCCCUAUUCAACUCGUCUUAAAAUACGGACCAAGGAGUCUUACAUGUGUGCGAGUCAACGGGCGAGUAAACCCGUAAGGCCUACAGAAGCUGAUUGGUGGGAUCUUCCAUAGGGGUGCACCACCGACUGACCUUGAUUUUCUGUGAAGGGUUCGAGUGUGAGCAUACCUGUCGGGACCUGAAAGAUUGUGAUCUAUGCCUGAGCGGGGCGAAGACAGAGGAAACUCUCGUGGAGGCCCGUAGAGAUAGUGACGUGCAAAUCGUCCGUCUGACUUGGGUAUAGGGGCGAAAGACUAAUAAACCGUCUAGUAGCUGGUUCCCACCGAAGUUUCCCUCGAAGUUUCCCUUAGGAUAGCUGGAGCUCGCGUGCGAGUUCAAUCAGGUAAAGCCAAUGAUUGGAGGCAUCAAGGGCGAAACUCCCUUGGCCUAUUCUCAAACUUUAAAUAGGUAGGACGAUGUGGCUUCUAUGUUGAGCCGCGCCACGGAAUCUAGAGCUCCAAGUGGGCCAUUUUUGUUAAGCAGAACUGGCGAUGCGGGAUGAACUAGAAGGCGGGUUAUGGUGCAAAAAUGCGUGCUAACCUAGAUCCCACAAAGGGUGUUGUUCGAUUAAGACAGCAAGACGGUGGUCAUGGAAGUCAAAAUCCGCAAAGGAGUUUGUAACAACUUAGCUGCCGAAUCAUCUAGCCCCAAAAAUGGAUAGCGUUUAAGCGUGCGACCUGCACCCGACCGUCAGGGAAAGUUCCAGGCCCCGAUGAGUUGGAGGGCCCGACGGUCACUGAAAAACCUUGGGCGUGAGCCUUGGAGGAGCGGCCGUUGGUGCAGAUCUUGGUGGUAGUAGCUAAUAUUCAAAUGAGAACUUUGAAGGAUGAAGAGGGGAAAGGUUCCAUGUGAACAGCACUUGCACACGGGCUAGUCGAUCCUAAGGGUCAGGGGAAGCCCGACAGAUAGCGCGUUCCGCACAUACUCCGAAAGGUAAUAGGGUUAAUAUUCAAGAACCGGGACAUGGCGGUUGACGGCAACGUUUGGAAGUCUGGAGACGUCGGCGGGGGCCUCGGGAAGAGUUAUCUUUUCUGUUUAACAGCCUGCCCAACCUGGAAACGACUCAAUCGGAGGUAGGGUCCAGCGGCUGGAAGAUGGUACGUCGCGUGGUGUCCCAUGCGCCCUCGGCGGCCCUUGAAAAUUCGGACGACCGAGUGCCGUCCAAGCCCGUUCGUACUCAUAAUCGCAUCAGGUCUCCAAGGUGAACAACCUCUGGUCGAUGGAACAAUGUAGGCAACAGAAGUCCGCAAAAUUGAUCCGUAACUUGGAAACGGCUCAGUCGGAGGUAAGGUCCAGUGGCUGGAAAAGCACCGCAUGUCGUGUGGUGUCCGGUGCGCCCCAGGUGACCCUUGAAAAUCCAUAGGACCGAGUUCCGUCCACGCCCUCUCGUACUCAUAACCGCAUCAGGUCUCCAAGGUGAACAGACUCUGGCUGAUGAAACAAUGUAGGUAAGGGAAGUCGGCAAAAUGGAUCCGUAACUUCAGGAAAAGGAUUGGCUCUGAGCGCAAGGCACAGGGGUCCCAGUCCUGAACCCAUCGGCUGUUGGUGGACUGCUUGAGCAGCUUACCAAGCGAGAAAGGGUUGCCGCAUGCCGGCCGGGCAUCGGACUGGGAACGGUUCCUUCGGGUGCCUUCCUCGGGCGUCGAACAGCCAACUCAGAAAUGGUACGGACAAGGGGAAUCCGACUGUUUUAUUAAAACAAAGCAUUGCGAUGGUCCCUGCGGAUGUUUACGCAAUGUGAUUUCUACCCAAUGCUCUGAAUGUCAAAGUGAAGAAAUUCAACCAAGCGCAGGUAAACGGCGGGAGUAACUAUGACUCUUGUAAGGUAGCCAAAUGCCCCGUUAUCUAAUUAGAGACGCGCAUGAAUCGAUUAACCAGAUUCCCACGGUCCCUGUCUACUAUCCAGCGAAACCACAGCCAAGGGAACGGGUUUGGCAGAAUCAGCAGGGAAAGAAGACCAUGUUGAGCUUUACUCUAGUCCGAAUUUGUGAAAUGACUUGAAAGGUGUAGUAUAAGUGGGAGCUGAAAGGCGAAAGUGAAAUACCACUACUCUUAACGUUAUUUUACUUAUUCCGUGAAUCGGAAGCAGGGCACUUCCCUCUUUUUGGACCCAAGGCUUGCUUGCAACCCGAUCCGGGCGGAGGACAUUGUCAGGUGGGGGGUUUGGCUGGGGCGGCCCAUCUGUUAAAAGAUAAUGCAAGUGUCCUCAGAAGAGCUCAACGAGAACAGAAAUCUCGUGUGGAAUAGAAGGGUAAAAGCUCGUUUGAUUCUGAUUUCCAGUACGAAUACUAACCGUGAAAGCGUGGCCAAACGAUCCUUUAAAUCUUUGGAAUUCGAAGCUGGAGGUGUUAGAAAAGUUACCACAGGGACAAUUACCUUGUGGCAGCCAAGCGUUCAUAUCGAUGUUGCUCUUUGAUCCUUCGAUGUCAGCUCUUCCUAACAUUGUGACGCAGAAUUCACCAAGUGUUGGAUUGUUCACCCAACAGUAGGGAACGUGACCUGGGUUUGGACCGAUUGAGACAGGUUAGUUUUACCCUACUGAUGACAGUGUCGCAAUAGUAAUUCAACCUAGUACGAGAGGAACCGUUGAUUCUCACAAUUGGUUAUCGCGCUUGGUUGAAAAGCUAGUGUCGUGAAGCUACCAUGCGCUGGAUUACGACUGAACGCCUGUAAGUCAGAGUCCAGGCUAGAAGCGACGCAUGCGCCCGCUAUCCGCUUGUCGACCCACAGUAGGGGCCUUUGGCCCCCAAGGGCACCGGUCGUUGGCUAAGUCAGCGCGGCGGAAGAGCCGCGGUGGCCGCCUUGAAGUACUAUUUCCAUCGAGUGGCGGGUAGAAUCCAUUGCAGAUGACUUAAAUACGCGACAGGGUAAUGUAAGUGGCAGAGUGGCAUUGCUGCCACGAUCCACUGAGAUUCAGCCCUUAGUCGCUCCUAUUCGUCCCUCCCCCUCCAAUCCAAUCAUUUUCUAACUUUUCCGUUAAGAGGUUCACUCCUACCUUGGUGCUAUAUUAUAUUAAGUGUUGGAAAAAUCGAACAAGUCCUCAAAGACCUUGGAACGUAUACUAUUUGUGCAUUAAGUGGACAAUGUGACUUGACACUUAGUCACGUCGAGGGAAAUCUCCUACCUUGAUGCUAUAUUAUACUAAUUGUUGGAAAAAUCAAACAAGUCCUCAAUAACUUGGAACGUAUACUAUUUAUGCAUUAAGUGGACAAUGUGACUUGACACUUAGUCACUUCGAGGGAAAUACUAAACCAAAUUACACUACUAGAGGAUUUUCGGGGUGUCGCUUGAGAGGUCGAGGCCUAUGCCAAGGUUUUUCGGGGCGUGGCUUGAGAGGCCAAGGCCUAUGCCACGAGCGCAAGGCAUGGCCAUGGCAUGAGUUUGGACGUCCAAAGACAUGGCAGGGCGUGGCCAUGGCACGCUCAAGGACGUGUGAAUACGUAACAGGACAUAGCAGGACACGGGUCGGGACGUGUCAGGAAGUCGCAGGACAUGGCAGGGCAUGGACAUGGCACGAUCAGGACCUGUCAGGACGCGUCAGGACCUGGCCAUGGCACGUGUCAGGACGCGUAUGGACAUGGCAGUGCGUGGCCAUGGCACGAGUCAGGACAUCGCAGGACAUGGCAGCGCAUGGCCAUGGCACGAGUCAGGACGUCGGGAUGCGUCAGGACAUGGCCAUGACAAGUGUCAAGACGCGUAUUGACAUGGCAGUGGCACAUGUAAGGACACAUUAGGACACAGCAGUGUGUGGCCAUGGCAUGAGUCAGGACGUCGCAGGACAUGGCAUGAGUCAGGACGUCGCAGGCCGCGAUAAGAUAUAGCCAUGGUAUGUGUCAGGACGCAUUAGGACAUGGCCAUAGCACGUGUCAGGACACAUCAGGACAUGGCAGGGCAUGGCCAUGACCCAAGUCGGGACGUUGCCGGACAUGGCAGGGCGUGACAAUGGCACGAGUUAAGACGUCGAAGGACGCGUCAGGACAUGGCCAAGCACGUGUCAGGAAGCGUUAGGACAUGGCCGGGCCUGUCCAUGGCAUGACUCAUGACGUCGCAGGACUUGGCAGGGCGUGGCCAUGGCACGAGUCAGGUCGUCGUAGGACGCGUCAGGACAUGUCCAUGGUACAUGUCAGGAAGCAUCAGGACAUGGCCAUGGCACCUGUCAGGACGCGGUAGGACAUGGCAGAGCGUGGCCAUGGCACGAGUCGGGAUGUCGCAGGACAUGACAGGGCGUGGCUUGUCACGAGUCAGGACGUCGCCGGACGCAUCAGGACAUGGCCAUGGCACAUGUCAGGGCAUGGCCAUGGCAUGAGCCAGGAUGUCGCACGACAUGGCAGGAUAUAGCCAUGAUACAUGUCAGGACGUGUCAGGACCAAGCCGCACCACGUUGCACCAAGGCGCACCACGUCUCUCCAAGCCGCACCACGUCUCUCCAAGCCGCACCACGUCACUCCAAGCCUCACCACUUCGCACUAUGUCUAUUGCUAGCCAAUGCUUAGAAACAUGUCAAGCGCAAUGAUGUUGGUGAUCGUUGGCGGCUAUGGUGGAAAGUCGGGGUGGUUCGAGAAGUAGCGUCCCGCGACGGUCGAUCGACGCUUGGUGGUUUUGGGAGAUUGCUUCAAAUCCUAAUCACUUGUCGUGGUUGGGAAACAUGUCAAGCGCAAUGAUGUUGGAGGUCGUUGGUGGCGGUGGUGGAAAGUCGCGGUGGUUCGAGCGGAAUCCACUGGCGACGGUUGGUUGAUGCUUUGUGGUUGGUGACGGUUUUUUCAAAUCAGAAUCCCUUGUUGUGGUUUAGACAAUGGAGGUGCCUAGUGCUUAUUGGAGGUUGGUCAUCUAUACACUUUUAUAAUAAUAUUAUGUAUUUUUCCUAUUUUUUAAUAUAUUAUUAGUAAGUAUUAUACAUUUUUUGUUAUUUUAAAUUAUUUUUAUAUCUCUUUUUAAUAAAAAUAUUUAAUUUGUUAUAUGUUAUACUAUUACAAGAUGUAUUGGGGCGAAGCUCAGUACUUGUUGAUCGCCAUUGGAUGUUGCGGGCAAAAUCGGGAGGCGACAUCGCUCGUUGCGGCUGAUGGCUUUUGACAAUAGAACGGCAAAGCCUCUUGCAAGUAGCGCUGCAAGGUGCUGCGCAUAUGGGGCGAAGCUUAGUAAGUUGUUGAUUUCCAUUGGUUGUUAUGGGUUGUUUCUGGAAUCUCUCGUGGCGGUUGAUGGCCUUCGACAACGAACAGCGGAGCUUCGUGCAAGUAGCGCCGCAAGGUGCCGUGCGCACGGGGCGAAGCUUAGUAGAUAUCGAUUACCAUCGGUUGUUGCGGGCAACAUCGCUCAUGGCAGUUGAUGGCUUUCAGCAAUGGAACGACGGAGCAUCGUGCAAGUAGCACAGCAAGGUUCCGUGCGCAUGAGGCGAAGCAUAGUAAGUUGCCUAUUGCCAUCGAUUCUUUUGGGUAGUGUCUGUAAACCCUCCUCCGUGGAGGCUUAUGGAUUUUGAAAACGAACGGUGGAGCAUCGUGCAAGUUGCGCCGCAAGGUGACGUGCGCACGAGGCGAAGCUCAGUAGAUAUUCAUUGCCACCGGUUGUUGCGGGAAACAUCGGGAGACGACAUCGCUCAUGGAGAGUGAAGGAUUUUGGCAACAAAAUGGCAAAGUAUCGUGCAAGUAGCGCCGUAAGUUUCCAUGCGCAUGGGGCGAAGCUUACUAAGUUGCUGAUUUCCAUCAAUUGUUGCGGGCAACAUCGAGAGAAGACAUCGCUCAUGGCGGCUGAUGGAUUUUGGAAACAAAAUGGCAAAGCAUCAUGCAAGUAGCGCCGCAAGGUGCCGUGCUCACGGGGCGAAGAUUAGUAAAUUGCCGAUUGCCAUCAGUUGUUGCGGGAAACAUUGGAAGGCAACAUCGCUUGUGGCGGCUGAUGGCUUUUCGCAAUGGAACGACAAAGCAUCGUGCUAGUAGCGGCGCAAGGUUCCAUGUGCAUGGGGCGAAGCUUAGUAAAUUUCCUAUUGCCAUCGGUUGUUGUGGGUUGUGUCUAGCAUUGUUAAACCCCCUAUUCGUGCUUUGCGGGGCUUGUCUUGGCUUUGCAAUGUUGGUAUCGGCAACAACACAUGGCUGCACGUCACGUGUUGGGGCUGGUGUUGGAUUUAUAUCGGCGAGGCACGUGUACGUAUGGCGCAUGAGCGGUGUUCGGCUGGUGUGGCUAGGUUGGAUCCCAGCUCGAGCAGUGACGUCCUAGCUCACAUGCCAUCUCAGUCAUGUCACACGCGAAAAUUAGGGUUGUUUGACGUCGAUUUUCUGUGUUGCAUACCUAAUGCAAAGGCAUUAUCAAGCACAAUUGGUCGCCUUUCGUCCCUCGCGUCCGACGUGCGGGGAGAACCAAAAGCUGUAGUUGUGUCCCAGGUCGUCCUGGCUUCGCCUUACGAUGGCUUGGUCCACGACUUAGCAUGCUCGGGAUCUCGGAUUCGGUAAUCGCAAUGGCACGGGGCCUUCAAUUGCUCCUAUCCGCACAAGGAAUGCUCAUUACGAAUGAUGGUCGUGCUCGCCUUGGACUUGGCUGUGCCCUUUUGGGUCGGCCACGCGCAUGCGACGCCGGCGUCAAUGAGGAAUGCUACCUGGUUGAUCUUGCCAGUAGUCAUAUGCUUGUCUCAAAGAUUAAGCCAUGCAUGUGUAAGUAUGAACAAAUUCAGACUGUGAAACUGUGAAUGGCUCAUUAAAUCAGUUAUAGUUUGUUUGAUGCUAUCUAUGACUCGGAUAACCGUAGUAAUUCUAGAGCAAAUACGUGCAACAAACCUCGACUUCUAGAAGGGAUGCAUUCAUUAGAUAAAUGGUCGACGCGGGCUCUGCCCGUUGCUGCGAUGAUUCAUGAUAACUCAUAGUUUGUUUGAUGGCAUCUACUACUUGGAUAAUCGUAGUAAUUCUGGAGCUAUUACAUGCAACAAACCCCGACUUCUGGAAGGGAUGCAUUUAUUAGAUAAAAGGUCGACGCGGGCNNNNNNNNNNNNNNNNNNNNNNNNNNNNNNNNNNNNNNNNNNNNNNNNNNNNNNNNNNNNNNNNNNNNNNNNNNNNNNNNNNNNNNNNNNNNNNNNNNNNNNNNNNNNNNNNNNNNNNNNNNNNNNNNNNNNNNNNNNNNNNNNNNNNNNNNNNNNNNNAGGGAUAGUGGCCUACCAUGGUGGUAACGGGUGACAGAGAAUUAGGGUUCGAUUCCGGAGAGGGAGCCUGAGAAAUGGCUACCACAUCCAAGAUAGGCAGCAGGCGCGCAAAUGACCCAAUCCUGAUACGGAGAGGUAGUGACAAUAAAUAACAAUACCAGGCUUUAUGAGUCUGGUAAUUGGAAUGAGUACAAUCUAAAUCCUUAACAAGGAUCCAUUGGAGGGGAAGUCUUGUGCCAGCAGCCACGGUAAUUACAGCUCAAAUAGCGUAUAUUUAUGUUUUUGUAGUUAAAAAGUUCGUAGUUGGACAUUGGGAUGGGCCGGCCCGUUUGCCUUAGGAGUGUACCGGUCAUCUCGUCCCUUCUGCCGGCGAUGCGCUCCUGGCCUUAAUUGUCCGGGUCGUGCCUCCGGCACUGUUGCUUUGAAGAAAUUAGAGUGCUCAAAGCAAGCCUACACUCUGUAUACAUUAGCAUGGGAUAACAUUAUAGGAUUUCGGUCCUUUUACGUUGGCCUUCGGGAUCGGAGUAAUGAUUAACAGGGACAGUCGGGGGCAUUCGUAUUUCAUAGUCAGAGGUGAAAUUCUUGGAUUUUAGGACUUUGGUCCUAUUACGUUGGCCUUCGGGAUCGGAGUAAUGAUUAAGAGGGACAGUCAGGGGCAUUCGUAUUUCAUAGUCAGAUGUGAAAUUCUUCGAUAUAUGAAAGACAAAAAACUGCGAAAGCAUUUGCCAAGGAGGUUUUUCAUUAAUCAAGAAUAAAAGUUGGGGGCUCGAAGACAAUCAAAUACCGUCCUAGUCUCAACCAUAAACGAUACCGACCAGGGAUCAGCGGAGGUUGCUUUUAGGACUCCCGGCACCUUAUGAGAAAUCAAAGUUUUUAGGUUCCGGGGGGAUUAUGGUCGCAAGGCUUAACCUUAUAGGAAUUGACGGAAGGGCACAACCAGGAGUGGAUCCUGCGGCUUAAUUUGACUCAACACGGGGAAACUUACCAGGUCCAGACAUAGUAAGGAUUGAUAGAGUGAAAGCUCUUUCUUGAUUCUAUGGGUGGUGGUGCAUGGCCGUUCUUAGUUGGUGGAGCGAUUUGUCUGGUUAAUUCCAUUAACGAACGAGACCUAAGCCUAGCUCUUUCUUGAUUCUAUGGGUGGUGGUGCAUGGCCGUUCUUAGUUGGUGGAGCGAUUUGUCUGGUUAAUUCCAUUAACGAACGAGACCUGAGCCUGCUAACUAGCUAUGCAGAGGUAUCCCUUCGCGGCCAGCUUCUUAGAAGGACUACGCAUAAUAGGCCGCAGAAGUUUGAGGCAAUAACAUGUCUGUGAUGCCCUUAGAUGUUUUGGCCCGGGUAAUCUUUGAAAUUUCAUCGUGAUGGGGAUAGAUCAUUGCAAUUGUUGGUCUAUUACAAGGAAUUCCUAGUAAGCGCGAGCCAUCAGCUCGCGUUGACUACGUCCCUGCCCUUUGUACACACUGCCUGUCCCUCCUACCGAUUGAAUGAUCCAGUGCAAUGUGCGGAUCGUGGCGACGUGGGUGGUCUGAUGCCCGCAACGUCGCGAGAAGUCCAUUGAACCUUAUCAUUUAGAGAAAGGAGAAGUCGUAACAAGGUUUUCGUAGGUGAACCUGCAGAAAGAUCAUUGUCGAAACCUGUAUGGCAGAACGACCCGCAAACUUGUUUAAAAACUGGGGAAUGGUGCGGCCGGGAUGCUUCGGACUCUGUCCGUGCGACUUUCUCCAAUGUCCCCGACGCGCGUGCUCACGUGCGUGCCGGGUGAUUAACGAACCCCAGCGUAGAAAGUGCCAAGGAUACUAAAUUGAAAGCCUGCCCCUCGCGCCCUGUUCGCGGCGUGCGCGAGGGACUUGUGCUUCUUUUGAAACACAAGUGACUCUCGGCAAUGGAUAUCUCGGCUAUCGCAUCGAUGAAGAAUGUAGCGAAAUGCAAUACUUGGUGUGAAUUGCAGAAUCCCGUGAACCAUCGAGUCUUUGAACGCAAGUUGCACCCGAAGCCAUUGGGCCGAGGGAACAUUUACCGGGGCGUCACGCAUCGUGUCACCCCCGCACAACACGCCCAUUCUCAUGGUCGCGAUGCUGUCGUGGGACGGAUACUGGCCUCACAUGCACCUCGAGUGUGCAGUUGGCCUAAAUGAAAGUCUACAACGACGGACGUCACCACAAGUGGUGGUUGAAUCUCAACUCUCGUAAUGUCGCGUCUCCAACCCCUCGCAUGUUUGGUCUCCCGACCUUAUCGUGCAUAGGCGCUGCGACCGCGACCCCAGGUCUUGAAACACGAGGUGCUGUCUACGAGUCGGGUUGUUUAGGAAUGCAGCCCAAAUCAGGUGGUGAAUUCCAUCCAAGGCUAAGUACGGGCGAGAAACCGAUUACGAACAAGUACCGCGAGGGAAAGAUGAAAAGGACUUUGAAAAUAGAGUUAAAGUGUGCUUGAAAGUUUCUAGAGGAAGCGGAUAGUGGCCGACAAUGUGCACCGGUCGGAUGUGGAACGGUGUUGAGCCGGCCCGCCGAUCGAUUCAGGGCGUGGACGAACGUGGAUUGGGGGGGGCAACAUCGCUCAUGGCAGUUGAUACGCUCGUGGAAUGUCGUCUCCUUGAUUGUGGUAGGCAACUUGGCCUCUGGCGUGCUUCGGCAUCUACACGCUCCGGACGCUUGCCUGUGGGCUCUUCAUUCGACCCGUCUUGAAACACGGACCAAUGAGUCUGACAUGUGUGCGAGUCAACGGGUGAGUAAACCCGUAAGGCAUAAGGAAGCUGAUUGGUGUGACCCCCCUGAGGGGUGCACCGCCGACCGACCUUGAUCUUCUGUGAAGGGUUCGAGUAUGAGCAUACUUGUCAGGACCCGAAUGAUGGGGAACUAUGCCGGAGCGAGGCGAAGCCAGAGGAAAGACUAAUCGAACCGUCUAGUAGCUGGUUCCCUCUGAAGUUUCCCUCAGGAUUGCUGGAGCUCGCGUGCGAGUUCUAUCGGGUAAAGCCAAUGAUUAGAGGCAUCGGGGGCACAACGCCCUCGACCUAUUCUCAAACUUUAAAUAGCGUCGGUACCCGAAAGAUGGUUAACUAUGCCUGAGCGGGGCAAAGCCAGGGAAACUCUGGUGGAGGCCCGCAGCAAUACUUAAGUGCAAAUCAUUCGUCUGACUACGGAAUAGGGGCGAAGGUCUAAUCAACCCGUCUAGUAGCUGGUUCCCUCCGAAGUUUCCCUCAGGAUAGCUCGAGCUCGCGUGCAAGUUUUAUCGGGUAAAGCCAAUGAUUAGAGGAAUCGAGGGUGCAAUUCCCUCGACCUAUUCUCAAACUGUAAAUACGUAGGACGACGCAACCACUUUGUUGAGCCGCGCCAUGGAAUCAAGAGCUCCAUGUGGGCCAUUUUUGGUAAGCAGAACUGGCGAUGUGGGAUGAAUCGGAAGCCGGGUUACGGAGCCAAACUGCGUGCUAACCUAAAUCCCACAAAGGGUGUUGGUCGAUUAAGACAGCAGGACGGUGGUCAUGGAAGUCAAAAUCCACUAAGGAGUGUGUAACAACUCACCUACCGAAUCAACUAGCCCCGAAAAUGGAUGGCGCUUAAGUGCGCGAACUACACCAGGCCGUCGUGGCAAGUGUCAGGCCCCGAUGAGUAGGAGGGCGCAACUGUUGCUGCAAAACCUUGGGCGUGAGCCUGGGCUGAGCGGCUGUCGAUGCAGAUCUUAGUGAUAGUAGCAAAUAUUCAAAUGAGAACUUUGAAGGCCGAAGAGGGGAAAGGUUCCAUGUGAACGGCACUUGCACAUGGGUUAGUCGAUCCUUAGGGUUGGGGGAACCCCGAAAGAUAGCGCGUUUCGCGCGUAGUCCGAAAGGGAAUUGGAUUAAAAUUCCUGAACAGGGACGUGGCGGUUGACGACAACGUUGGAAAGUUUGAAGACGUCGGCGGGGGCCUCGGGAAGAGUUAUUUUUUCUGUUUAACAGCCUUCCCACCCUAUAAACGACAUAGUCAGAGGUAGGGUGCAGCGGCUGGAAGAGGGCCGCACGUCGCGUGGCGUCAAGUUCACCCCCGAUGGCCCUUGAAAAUUUGGAGGACCGAGUGUUGUCCACGCCCGGUCAAACUCAUAACCGCAUCAGGUCUCCAAGGUGAACAACCUCUGGUUGAUGGAAAAAUGUAGGCAAGAGAAGUUAGCAAAAUGGAUCCGUAUCUUCGGGAAUAGGAUUGGCUCUGAGGGCUGGAUACAGGGGUCCCAGUCUCGAACCCGUCGGCUAUUGGUGGACUGCUCAAGCUGCUCCCACAGUGUUGCUGUCAUCUGGUAUUUCCACUUCUGCGGAAAUGGACAGCAUAAGCAGUUCUGCAAAAGAGUGUAAGGAAGCGCAGAAGCGAUAGGGUGCAGAGAUGAGGAGUUUCAGAGAAAUGGAACUUGGUCCGCAUUAGCGGGUCCGCAGGAGCGAACUUUAAGCCACAUAAGCGGAAUUGGGGGAUCUGCAGAAGUGGGACCUUGGACGCAGAAGCGAUCGUGGAGGAGUUAGGUCAAAACUGCAGAAGCGGUUACUGGGACGCGGAAGCGAUACCGCAAAAGCGGUUAUGGGAAGCGCAGAAGCGAAAACUGGAUUGUGUUUAACGAACAGUGACUUUGCGAAUUUUAAAAAGAGCAACCACUUUUUUUUUUGGUAAUCCACUAGGCAAUAGCCUAGGGCUAGGUUUUUAUUAAUAGCAAACAAGAAAAUACAAAAAAUAGGAAAAGUACAAAUAAGGGGGCAUUAGCACCAGUAUUGUUACCCAUAUAACACAUACCAGGCUAAACUUACCAUACUAAAUCCUAUUGAGGCUUGACAACCUCACUUAUUAACAGGAAUGCCAUAUAACACAUACCAGGCUAAACUUACCAUACUAAAUCCUAUUGAGGCUUGACAACCUCACUUAUUAACAAGAAUGCAACAAUACGAACUUGACAUGCCCAAAUAUGCUAUGAUCAUCACAGAGUUUGAAGCAUACUCUGUGAUGAGAUUACAAAUGAGUACACUAAAAAAGUGGCAGAUUAAAAAGGUGAAAAAGUUAUAAGGAUGUCCCUUUUUGUUGAUCCUUGCAAUUUCUUCAAUUUGUAAUUCUUUAUCACCAUCAUCCCAAUUCUUCAAGAAGUAUUCAAAAAUCAUGAUUUCUUUUUAGAUUGAUUAGACUUUGUUGACGUAGUUGGGGCGGCCUGCUUAAGCUUUGAUCACGUGACUGUACUGUUUGCUUAAUCUUAACCCAUGCAUGUUUAAGUUUAUGCAUAUUUUAUAGUCAAACCUUUUACUCUCAAAAUAACCCUAAUUUUAGAGAUUUAUUUCAGACUACUAUUAUGCAGGCCUAAUUGGUUCUUUCCUUGUCUGAUUUGGACCUGUUUUCUGACUUAAUUCAUAACUGAGCUCGAAUCCCUAAUUCCUUGAUUUACCUGUGUUAAUUGAUUUUACUCAUGCCUUAUUUGCCUAAACCGAGUAUUUUAAAACUUCUCUUAUGUAUUUACCCUUUAUUACACAAUGUGUUCCUGAUUUUCUUUCCUAAAAUAAAACUCUGCCUUUAGUAUUCUAAGUUUGAACUCCUUAAUUAAAGGUUCCCUUCUCCUAAUUGAUUAUGAUUGAUACUAGAUUAUUUUCUGCCUUAUUUGAUUGCCAUUUUUCAAACUAUAAAUAACCCACUCCCUUUCUUUAAACAAAUGAACGCCCGGGAAUGAACUGGGAACGGUUCCUUCAGGGGCCUUCCCCGGGCGUCGAACAACCAACUCAGAACUUGUACGGACAAGGGCAAUCCGAUUGUUUAAUUAAAACAAAGAAUUGCGAUGGUCCUUGCGAUUAUUUACGCAAUGUGAUUUCUGCCUAGUGCUCUAAAUGUCAAAGUGAAGAAAUUCAACCAAGCGCGGGCAAACGGCGGGAGUAACUAUGACUCUCUAAAGGUAUCCAAAAGCCUCAUCAUCUAAUUAGUGACGCGCAUGAAUGGAUUAACGAGAUUCCCACUGGCCCUGUCUACUAUCCAGCGAAACCACAGCCAAGGGAACGGGCUUGGCAGAAUCAAUGGGGAAAGAAGACCCUGUUGAGCUUGACUAUUGUCCGACUUUGUGAAAUGACUUGAGAGGUGUAGUAUAAGUGGGAACCGAAAGGAAAAAGUGAAAUACCACUACCUUUUAACGUUAUUUUACUUAUUCCGUGAAUCGGAAGAGGGGCACUGGCCCUCUUUUUGGACCCAAGGCUUGUUUGCAAGCCGAUCCGGGUGGAAGACAUUGUCAGGUGGGGAGUUUGGCUUGGGCGGCACAUCCGUUAAAGGAUAACGCAGGUGUCCUAUGAUGAGAUCAACGAGAACAAAAAUAUCGUGUGGUACAAAAGGGUAAAAUAUCAUUUGAUUCUAAUUUCCAGUACAAAUACGAACUGUGAAACCAUGGUCUAACGAUCCUUUAGACCUUCGGAAUUCAAAGCUAGAGGUGUCAAAAAAGUUACCACAGGGAUAACUAGCUUGUGGCAGCGAAGGGUUCAUAGAGACGUUGCUUUUUGAUCCUUCGAUGUCGGCUGUUCCUAUCAUUGUGAAGAUGAAUUCACCAAGUGUUGGAUUGUUUACCCACCAAUAAGGAACGCGAGAUGGGUUUAGACCGUUGUGAGACAGGUUAGUUUUACCCUUCUGAUGACAGUGUCGCAAUAGUAAUUCAACCUAGUACGAGAAGAACUGUUGAUUCGCACAAUUGGUCAUUGCGCUUGGUUGAAAAGCCAGUGGCGCGUAGCUACCGUGCGCUGGAUUAUGACUUAAUGCCUCAAAGUCAGAAUCCGGGCUAGAAGCGACACAUGCGCGCGACAUCCGCUUGCCGAACCGCAUUAGGGGCCUUUGGCCCCCAAGGGCACGUGUCGUUGGCUAACUCAUCGCGGCGGAAGAGCAGCGGUGGCCGCCUUAAAGUACAAUUUCCAUCGAGCGGCGGAUAGAAUCCUUUGCAAACAACUUAAACACACGACGGGGUAUUGUAAGUGGCAGAGUGGCCUUGCUCCCAUGAUCCAAUGAGAUUCAGCCCUUUGUCGCUCCAAUUUGUCCCUCUCCCUCCAAUGCAAUCAUUUUCUAACUUUUCCGAUAAGAGGUUCACUCCUACCUUGAUGAUAUAUUAUACUAAAUAUUGGAAAUAUCGAACAAGUCCUCAAGACCUUGGAACGUAUACUAUUUGUGCAUUAAGUGGACAAUGUCACUUGACACUUAGUCACGUCGAGGGCAAUACCAAACAAAAUUAGACUACUAGAGGCUUUUCGGGGUGUCUCUUGAGAGGUCGAGGCCUAUGCUAAGGUUUUUCGAGGUGUCGCUUAAGAGGCCAAGGCCUAUGCCACGAGCGCAAGGCGUGGCCAUGGCAUGUGUUAGGACGUCCCUGAACAUGGCAGGGUGUGGCCAUGGCACGGGCUAGGACGUGUCACUACGUCGCAGGACAUGGAAGGACAAGGGUCGGGAUGUGUCAAGAAGUCGUAGGACAUGGCAGGGCGUUGCCAUGGUACGAGUCAGGACGCGUCAGGACAUGGCCAUGGCACAUGUCAGGACGCGUCAAGACAUGGCAAGGCGUGUCCAUGGCAUGAGUCAGGACAUUGCAGGUCAUGGCAGGGCGUGGCCAUGGCACGAGUCAGGACGUUAUGGGACGCGUCAGGACAUGGCCAUGGCACGUGUAAGGACGCGUCAGGACAUGGCAGUGGCACGUGCCAAGACGCGUCAAGACAAGGUAGGGCGUGGCCAUGGCAUGACUCAUGAUGUCGCAGGACAUGGCAUGAGUCAGGACGUCGCAGGAUGCGUCAGGACAAUGCCAUGGUACAUGUCAGGAUGCAUCAGGACAUCGACAUGGCACGUGUCAGGACGUGUCCGGACAUGGCAAGGCAUGGCCAUGGCAUGAGUCGAGACAGCGCAGGACAUUGCAGGGCGUGGCCAUAGCACGAGUCGGGACGUCGAAGGACGCGUCAGGACAUGGCCAUGGCACAUGGGAGGGCGCGUCAGGACAUGGCAGUAUCACAUGUCAAGACAUGGGAGGGCGUGGCCAUGACAUGACUCAUGACGCGCAGGACAUGGCAGGGCAUGGCCAUGGCACGAUUCAGGACGUCGCCGGACGCAUCAGGACAUGGCCAUGGUACGAGUCAGGACGCAUCAGGACAUGGCCAUGGCACGUGUCUGGACGCAUUAGGACAUGGCAGGGCGUGGGCAUAGCACGAGUCGGGACAUCGCAGGACAUGGCAGGGUGUGGCCAUGGCACGAGUCUGGACGUCGCAGGACGCGUCAGGACAUGUCCAUGGCACAUUUCAGGACAUGGCAGGGCGUGGCCAUAGCACGGGUCAGGACGUUGCAAGACAUGGCAGGAUAUGGCCAUGGUAUGUGUUUGGAUGUGUCAGGACAUGGCCAUGGCACGACGUCGCACCAAACCGCACCACGACGCUCCAAGCCGCACCACGUCGCACCAAGACGCACCACGUGGCACCACGUCUAUUGCUAGCCAAUUCUUAUAAACAUGUCAAGCGCAAUGAUGUUGGUGAUCGUUGGCGGCAGUGGUGGAAAGUCGGGGUGGUUCGAGCGGUAGCAUCCGGCGACGGUCGGUCGAUGCUUUGUCGUUGGCGGCGAUUGCUUCAAAUCCUAAUCACUUGUUGUGGUUGGGCAACAUGUCAAGCGCAAUGAUGUUUCUGGUCGUUGGUGGCGGUGGUGGAAAGUCGCGGUGGUUCGAGCAGUAUCCACCGGCGACGGUUGGUCCACGCUUUGUGGUUGGCAGCGGUUUUUUCAAAUCGAAGUCCCUUGCUGUGGUUGCGACAAUGGAGGUGCCUCGUGCUUAUUGGAGGUUGGUCAUCUAUACGCUUUUAUAAUAAUAUUAUGUAUUUUUCCUAUUUUUAAUAUAUUUUUUAGUAAUAUUUAUGCUUUUUUUGUUAUUUUAUAUUAUAUUUAUGUCACUUUUUAAUAAAACCUUUUACUCUUUUAUAUGUUAUCCUAUUACAAGUUGCAUUGGAAUUUUUCUCCAUCAUUAAUAUAUGUUUUAUUAAUGUUUAUGCAUUUUUUGUUAAUUAAAAUUAUGUUUAUGUCACUUUUUAAUAAAAAUAUUUUCUCUUUUAUAUGUUAUACUAUUACAAGACGUAUUGGAAUUUUUCUCCAUCAUUUUUUCUAUUUUUAUAAUAAUUUUCAUAUUUUUAGUAUUUUAUUAAUUAUUUUUCGUUUUGGAAUAUAAUAUUUCAAAAAAAUAUUAAUUAUUAGUAAAAAAUAUGUCACUUUUUAAUAAAAAUAUUUUCUCUUUUAUAUGUUAUACUAUUACAAGACGUAUUGGAAUUUUUCUCCAUCAUUUUUUCUAUUUUUAUAAUAAUUUUCAUAUUUUUAGUAUUUUAUUAAAGUAUUUUUCGUUUUUACAUAAAAAUAUUUCAAAAAAAAAGAUUAUUUUUUUGUAAAAAAUAUUAUUUACUAUGUGUAAAAGUCAUUUGUGAAUAUAUUAGCCAAGUUGUACUUUGGUUUGUGCUAUUUGGUGUUGUACAUGUCUAUUAUGAUUCUCUUGCCAAAACAUGUGUACUCUUGAAACUUGGGUUUUCUUUUUUAAGCAUAUAUAAGGGGGGUAGAGGUGUUGAGAGGCACCUUAGGUGCUUGCUGCCAGGAAGGGCGGGCAUGCAUGGGGGAAGCUCAGUACUUGUUGAUCGCCAUUGAAUGCUGCGGCCAAAAUCGAUAGGCGACAUCGCUCGUGGUGGCUGAUGGCUUUUUACAAGAGAAUGGCAAAGCGUCGUGCAUGUAGCGCCGCAAGGUGCUGCGCCCAUAUGGAGAAGCGUAUGUAAGUUGUCGAUUGCCAUUGGUUGUUGUGGGUUGUGUCUGGAAUCUCUCGUGGCGGCUGAUGGCUUUCGACAACGAACGGCGGAGCGUCGUGCAAGUACCGCUGCAAGGUGCCAUGCACAUGGAGCGAAGCUCAGUAGAUGUCGAUUGCCACCACUUGUUACGGGAUACAUCGCUCAUGGCGGUUGAUGGCUUUCGACAAUGGAACGACUGAGCGUCGUGCAAGUAGCGCUACAAGGUUCCGUGCGCAUGGGGCGAAGCUUUGUAAGUUGCCUAUUGCUAUCGAUUGUUGUGGGUUGUCUCUGUUAACCCCCAUCCAUGGCAGCUUAUGGCUUUUGACAAUGAACGGCGGAGCAUCAUGCGAGUAGCACCGCAAGGUGCUGUGCGCACGGGGCGAAGCUCAGUAGAUGUUCAUUGCCAUCGGUUGUUGCGGGAAACAUCGGGAGGUGACAUCAUUCGUGGCGGCUGAUGGCCUUUGGCAACAUAAUGGAAAAGCAUCGUGCAAGUAACGCCGUAAGGUUCCAUGUGCACGGGGCGAAGCUUAGUAAGUUGCUGAUUGCCAUCGGUUGUUGCGGGCAACAUCAGGAGGCAACAUUGCUUGUGGCGGCUGAUGGCUUUUGGCAACAAAUGGCAAAGCAUCGUGCAAGUAGAGCCGCAAGGUGUCGUGCUCACGGGGCGAAUCUUAGUAAGUUGCUGAUUGCCAUCAGUUGUUGCGGGAAACAUCGGAAGGCGACAUCGCUUGUGGCGGCUUAUGGCUUUUCGCAGUGGAACGGCAAAGCUGUUGCAGAUUGCCAUCGUUUGUUGCGGGAAAAAUCGGGAGGUAACAACGCUCAUGGCGGCUGAUGGCUUUUGGCAAUAAAAUGGCAAAGCAUUGUGCAAGUAGCGCUGCUAGGUGCCGUGCUCAUGGGCCAAGCUUAGUAAGUUGCUGAUUGCCAUUAGUUGUUGCGGGAAACAUUGGAAGACGACAUCGUUCGUGGCGGCUGAUGGCUUUUUGCAAUGGAACAACAAAGCAUCGUGCAAGUAGCGCCGCAAUGUGCCAUGCGCAUGAGGCGAAGCUCAGUAAAUUGCCUAUUGCCAUCGGUUUUUGUGGGUUGUAUCUGGCAUUGUUCAAACCCCCUAUUCGUGCUUUGAGGGGCUUGUCUUGGCUUUGCAAUGUUGGCAUCGGCAACAACAGUUGUUGGUCGUUGGCGGCGGUGGUGGAAAGUCGGGGUGGUUCGAGCGGUAGCGUCGGGCGACAGCCGGUCGACGCUUGGUGGUUGGCGUAGCCUAUUCGUGCUUUGAGGGGCUUGUCUUGGCUUUGCAAUGUUGGCAUCGGCAACAACACAUGGCUGUGCGUCACGUGUUGGGGCUGGUGUUUGCUUUGUAUCGGCGAGGCAAGUAUACAUGCGACACAUGAGUGGUGUUCGGCUUGUGUGUCUAGGUUGGAUCCCUACUCGAGAAGUGACGUCCUAGCUCGCAUGCCAUCUCAGUCAUGUCACAAGCGUAAAUUAGGCCUGUUUGAUGUCGGUUUUCUGUGUUGCAUACGUAAUGCCAAGGCAUUAUCAAGCACAAUUUGUCGACAUUUGCCCCUUGCGUUCGACGUGUGGGGAGAAACAAAUGCUGCAGUUGUGUCUUAGGUCGUCCUAGCUUCACCUUGCGAUGACUUGGUCCACGACUUAGCAUGCUCGGGCUCUCGAAUCCAGUAAACGCAAUGGGCACGGGGCCUUCAUUGGCUCCUAUCUUGCCAAAGAAUUCUCCUUACGUAUGAUGGUCGUGCUCGCCUUGGACUUGGCCGUGCCCUUUUGGGUCGGCCAUGCUCAUGGGACGCCGGCGUCAAUGAGGAAUGCUACCUGGUUGAUCCUGCCAGUAGUCAUAUGUUUGUCUCAAAGUAUGCCAUGCAUGUGUAAGUAUGAAAAAAGUCAGACUGUGAUACUGCGAAUGGGUCAUUAAAUCGAUUAUAGUUUGUUUGAUGGUAUCCACUACUCCGAUAACCAUAGUAAUUCAAGAACUAAUACUUGCAACAAACCCCGACUUCUGGAAGGGAUGCAUUUAUUAGAUAAAAGGUCGACGCGGGCUCUGCAUGUUGCUGUGAUGAUUCAUGAUAACUCAACAGAUCGCACGACCAUCGUGCCGGCGACGCAUCAUUCAAAUUUAUGCCCUAUCAACUUUCGAUGGUAGGAUAGUGGGCUACCAUAGGGGUGACGGGUGACGGAGAAUUAGGGUUUGAUUCCGGAGAGGGAGCCUGAGAAACGACUACCACGUCCAAGGAAGGCAGCAGGCGUGCAAAUUACCCAAUCUUGACACGUGGAGGUAGUGACAAUAAAUAAUAAUACCGCGCUUUAUGAGUCUUGUUAUUGGAAUGAGUACAAUCUAAAUCUCUUAACGAGGAACCAUUGGAGGGAAAGUCUGAUGGCAGCAGCCGUGGUAAUUCCUGCUCCAGUAGCGUAUAUUUAAAUUGUUGCAGUUAAAAAGUUCGUAGUUGGACUUUGGGAUGGGCUGGCCGGUGGGCCUUAGGUGUGUAGGUCAUCUUGGCGCUUCUGCCGGUGAUGCGCUCCUGGCCUAAAUAGGCCAGGCCGUGCCUCCGGCGCUGUUACUUUGAAGAAAUUAGAGUGCUCAAAGCAAGCCUACGCUCUGUAUACAUUAGCAUGGAAUAACAUUAUAGGAUUUAGGUCCUACUACAUUAGUCUUCGGGAUCAGAGUAAUGAUUAACAUGGACAGUCGGGGGCAUUUGUAUUUCAUAGUCAGAGGUGAAAUUCUUGGAUUUAUGAAAGACGAACAACUGCGAAAACAUUUGCCAAGGAUGUUUUCAUUAAUCAAGAACGAAAGUUGGCGGGUCGAAGAUGAUCAGAUACCGUCCUAGUCUCAACCAUAAACGAUGCCGACCAGGGAUCGGCGGANNNNNNNNNNNNNNNNNNNNNNNNNNNNNNNNNNNNNNNNNNNNNNNNNNNNNNNNNNNNNNNNNNNNNNNNNNNNNNNNNNNNNNNNNNNNNNNNNNNNNNNNNNNNNNNNNNNNNNNNNNNNNNNNNNNNNNNNNNNNNNNNNNNNNNNNNNNNNNNNNNNNNNNNNNNNNNNNNNNNNNNNNNNNNNNNNNNNNNNNNNNNNNNUAAGUUUCUGGGUUCUGGGGGGAGUAUGGUCGCAAGGCUGAAACUUAAAGGAAUUGACGGAAGGGCACCACCAUGAGUGGAGCCGGCGGCUUAAUUUAACUCAACAUGGGGAAACUUAUCAGGUCCAGACAUAGUAAGGAUUGAUAGGCUGAGAGCUCUUUCUUGAUUCUAUGGGUGGUGGUGCAUGGCUGUUUUGUUGGUGGAGCGAUUUGUUUGGUUAAUUCCGUUAACGAACAAGACUUCAGCCUACUAAGUAGCUAUGCAGAGGUAUCCCUUUGCGGCCAGCUUCUUAGAGGGACUACGACCUUUUAUGCCGCAAAUGUUUGAGGCAAUAACAGGUCUCUGAUGCCCUUGGACGUUCUGGGCCGCACGCGCGCUACACUGAUAUAUUCAACGAGUUUAUAGCCUUGGCCGACAUACCCGGGAAAUCUUUGAAAUUUCAUCGUGAUGGGGAUUGAUCAUUGCAAUUGUUGGUCUUCAACGAGGAAUUCCUAGUAAGCGCGAGUCAUCAGCUCGCGUUGACUACGUCCCUGCCCUUUGUACACACCGCCUCCGACAGGCCCGGGUAAUCUUUGAAAUUUCAUCGUGAUGGGGAUUGAUCAUUGCAAUUGUUGGUCUUCAACGAGGAAUUCCUAGUAAGCGCGAGUCAUCAGCUCGCGUUGACUACGUCCCCGCCAUUUGUACACACCGUCCGUCGCUCCUACCGAUUGAAUUAUUCAGUGAAAUGUUUGGAUCGUAGCGACGUGGGCGGUCCGCUGGCCGUGACAUCGCGAGAAGUUCAUUGAACCUUAUCAUUUAGUGGAAGGAGAAGUCGUAACAAGGUUUCCGUAGGUGAACCUGCGGAAGGAUCAUUGUCGAAACUUACAAGGCAGAACGACCGCAAACUUGUUUAAAAAUUGGGGAGCGGUGCGGCUGGGAUGCUUUGGCCUCUAUCUGUGCGGCUUCCUCCUAUAUCUCCGACGCGUGCGCUCGCGUGCGUGCCGGGUGAUUAACGAACCUCGGUGCGCAAAGUGCCAAGGAAUACUAAGGCAUGCCCCUCGCGCCAUGUUACAGCUUGCGCGAGGGACUUGUGUUUCUUUUGAAACUCAAACGACUCUCAGCAAUGGAUACGGCUCUCCCAUCGAUGUAGAACAUAGCGAAAUGUGAUACUUGGUGUGAAUUGCAGAAUCCCGUGAACCAUCGAGUCUUUGAACGCAAGUUGCGCCCGAAGCCAUUAGGCCGAGGGCACGUGUGCCUGGGCGUCACGCAUCGCGUCGCCCCCGCACACCGCUCCCAUUCUCAUGGUUGCGGUGCUGUCGUGGGACGGAUACUGGCCUCCCGUGCUCCACUUGGUGUGAAUUGCAGAAUCCCGUGAACCAUCGAGUCUUUGAACGCAAGUUGCGCACGAAGCCAUUAGGCCGAGGGCACGUCUGCCUGGCCGUCAUGCAUUGCUUUGCCCCCGCACGCCGCGCCUAUCUCAUUAUCGCAGCGCUGUCAUGGGAUGGAUACAGUCCCCCUGUGCACCUCAAGUGUGCGGUUGGCCUAAAUGCUGGUCCACAGCGACAGACAUCACGACAAAGGGUGGUUGAAACAUAACUCUCGUAAUGUUGCGGCUCCAACCCGUUGCAUGUUUUGGCUUCCGACCCUUAUCGCGCUUAGGCACUCCGACCGCGACCCCUGGUCAGGCGGGACUACCCGCUGAGUUUAAGCAUAUCAAUAAUCGGAGGAAAAGAAACUUACAAGGAUUUCCCUAGUAACGGUGAGCGAACCGGGAACAUCCCAGCUGUAGAAUCAGGUUGCUCCGUCGUCCGAAUUGUAGUCUGGAGAAGUGUCCUUAUCGGCGGACCAGGCCCAAGUCCCCUGGAAGGGGGAGGCAGAGAGGGUGAGAGCCCCGUUGUACCCGGACCAUGUCGCACCACGAGGCGCUAUCUACGAGUCAAGUUGUUUGGGAAUGCAGCCCAAAUCCGGCGGUGAAUUUCGUCCAAGGGUAAAUAUGGGCGAUAGACCAAUAGUGAAUAAGUAACGCGAGGGAAAGAUGAAAAGGACUUUGAAAAGAGAGUCAAAGAGUGCUUGAAAUUUUUGGGAGGGAAGCGGAUGCGGGGCGGCGAUGCGCCCCAGUCGGAUGUGGAACAGUGUUGAGCCGGUUCGCAGAUCGAUUCGGGGCGUGGGACAAGCGUGGAUUGGGGGGGGGGGNNNNNNNNNNNNNNNNNNNNNNNNNNNNNNNNNNNNNNNNNNNNNNNNNNNNNNNNNNNNNNNNNNNNNNNNNNGGGACAAGCGUGGAUUGGGGGGGGGGGAGGCGGCCAAAGCCCGGGAUUUUGAUACACUCGUGGAAUGUCG